UCGAGAAUAUUCGACAAUGGGCGAAAGCCUGAUCGAGCGACGCCGCGUGCAGGAUGAAGGCCCUCGGGUUGUAAACUGCGGUAGUAGGGGAGGAACGCAAGUGACUGUACCCUACGGAAAGUGGUUGGUAACUACGUGCCAGCACCAGCGGUAAUACGUAGACCACAAGCGUUAUCCGGAUUUAUUGGGCGUAAAGAGCAUGUAGGAGGUCCGGUGCGUCUCUGGUUAAAGCCACCGCCUAACGGUGGAAGUGCCAGAGAUACGAUCGGACUGGAGGAUGUGAGAGGUGCAUGGAACUCACGGUGUAGGGGUGAAAUCCGUUGAUAUCGUGGGGAACACCAAAGGCGAAGGCAGUGCACUGGUACAUUCCUGACUCUGAGAUGCGAAAGCGUGGGGAGCAAAAAGGAUUAGAUACCCAGGUAGUCCCUGAGCGGGCUGGCAAGGCGCAU
rnacentral:rRNA from 1 species